rnacentral:rRNA from 1 species
AGCGAACGCUGGCGGCAGGCCUAACACAUGCAAGUCGAACGAACCUUUCGGGGUUAGUGGCGGACGGGUGAGUAACACGUGGGAACGUGCCUUUAGGUUCGGAAUAACUCAGGGAAACUUGUGCUAAUACCGAAUGUGCCCUUCGGGGGAAAGAUUAAUCGCCUUUAGAGCGGCCCGCGUCUGAUUAGCUAGUUGGUUGAGGUAAUGGCUCACCAAGGCGACGAUCAGUAGCUGGUCUGAGAGGAUGAUCAGCCACAUUGGGACUGAGACACGGCCCAAACUCCUACGGGAGGCAGCAGUGGGGAAGCUUGCGCAAUGGGCGAAAGCCUGACGCAGCCAGGCCGCGUGAAUGAUGAAGGUCUUAGGAUUGUAAAAGUCUUUCACCGGGGACGAUAAGGACGGUACCCGGAGAAGAAGCCCCGGCUAACUUCGU